GACGAACGCUGGCGGCGUGCCUAAUACAUGCAAGUCGAGCGCAGGAAAUCAUCCGAACCUUUCGGGGGGACGUUGAUGGAAUGAGCGGCGGACGGGUGAGUAACACGUAAAGAACCUGCCCUCAGGUCUGGGAUAACCACGAGAAAUCGGGGCUAAUACCGGAUAGGUCAUCGGACCGCAUGGUCCGAGGAUGAAAGGCGCUUCGGCGUCGCCUGGGGAUGGCUUUGCGGUGCAUUAGCCAGUUGGUGGGGUAAUGGCCCACCAAGGCGACGAUGCAUAGCCGACCUGAGAGGGUGAUCGGCCACACUGGGACUGAGACACGGCCCAGACUCCUACGGGAGGCAGCAGUAGGGAAUCUUCCACAAUGGACGAAAGUCUGAUGGAGCAACGCCGCGUGAACGAUGAAGGCCUUCGGGUCGUAAAGUUCUGUUGUAAGGGAAGAACAAGUGCCGCAGGCAAUGGCGGCACCUUGACGGUACCUUGCGAGAAAGCCACGGCUAACUACGUGCCAGCAGCCGCCGUAA
rnacentral:rRNA from 1 species